AACGAACGCUGGCGGCAUGCCUAACACAUGCAAGUCGAACGAGACCUUCGGGUCUAGUGGCGCACGGGUGCGUAACGCGUGGGAACCUGCCCUUAGGUUCGGAAUAACUCCCCGAAAGGGGUGCUAAUACCGGAUAAUGUCUUCGGACCAAAGAUUUAUCGCCUUUGGAUGGGCCCGCGUUGGAUUAGCUAGUUGGUAGGGUAAAAGCCUACCAAGGCGACGAUCCAUAGCUGGUCUGAGAGGAUGAUCAGCCACACUGGGACUGAGACACGGCCCAGACUCCCACGGGGGGCAGGGGUGGGGAAUAUUGGAAAAGGGGCGAAGGCCUGAUCCAGCAAUGCCGGGUGGGGGAGAAAGGCCUUGGGGUUUUAAAGCUCUUUUCCCCGGGAUGAUAAUGACAGUCCCGGGAGAAUAAGCCCCGGCUAAUCCCGG
rnacentral:rRNA from 1 species